AGAGUUUGAUCAUGGCUCAGGAUGAACGCUAGCGGCAGGCUUAACACAUGCAAGUCGAGGGGCAGCGCGGAGUAGCAAUACUCUGGCGGCGACCGGCGGAAGGGUGCGUAACACGUGAGCGACUUGCCCGUCACAGGGAGAUAACCGCUGGAAACGGCGACUAAUAUCCCAUAUGAUGGCGAUCUGCAUGGAUUGUCAUUGAAAGAUUCAUCGGUGGCGGAUAGGCUCGCGGGGCAUUAGCUAGACGGCGGGGCAACGGCCCACCGUGGCGACGAUGCCUAGGGGUUCUGAGAGGAAGACCCCCCACACUGGGACUGAGACACGGCCCAGACUCCUACGGGAGGCAGCAGUGAGGAAUAUUGGUCAAUGGGCGGAAGCCUGAACCAGCCAUGCCGCGUGAAGGACUAAGGCCCUAUGGGUCGUAAACUUCUUUAGACGCAGAGCAAUAAGGGUCUCGUGAGAUCCGAUGAGAGUAUGCGUAGAAUAAGCAUCGGCUAACUCCGUGCCAGCAGCCGCGGUAAUACGGGGGAUGCGAGCGUUAUCCGGAUUUAUUGGGUUUAAAGGGUGCGUAGGCGGAAGUGCAAGUCAGCGGUGAAAUCCCCGCGCUCAACGCGGGAGUUGCCGUUGAUACUGUACAUCUGGAAUGCUCUUGCCGUGGGAGGAAUGAGUAGUGUAGCGGUGAAAUGCAUAGAUAUUACUCAGAACACCGAUUGCGAAGGCAUCUCACGAAGGGGCGAUUGACGCUGAGGCACGAAAGCGUGGGUAUCGAACAGGAUUAGAUACCCUGGUAGUCCACGCAGUAAACGAUGAUGGCUAACUGUCGGGUUUUAGGAUUCGGCGGCCAAGCGAAAGCGAUAAGCCAUCCA
rnacentral:rRNA from 1 species